rnacentral:rRNA from 1 species
AAGCGUGCGCAGGCGGUUAUGUAAGACAGAUGUGAAAUACCCCGGGCUCAACCUGGGAACUGCAUUAGUGACUGCAUAGCUGGAGUACGGCAGAGGGGGAUGGAAUUCCGCGUGUAGCAGUGAAAUGCGUAGAUAUGCGGAGGAACACCGAUGGCGAAGGCAAUCCCCUGGGCCUGUACUGACGCUCAUGCACGAAAGCGUGGGGAGCAAACAGGAUUAGAUACCCUGGU